CAACAGGGAUUGCCCUAGUAACGGCGAGUGAAGCGGCAACAGCUCAAAUUUGAAAUCUGGCCUAGGCCCGAGUUGUAAUUUGCAGAGGAUGCUUCUGGCGAGGUGCCUUCCGAGUUCCCUGGAACGGGACGCCACAGAGGGUGAGAGCCCCGUAUGGUCGGACACCGAGCCUGUGUGAAGCUCCUUCGACGAGUCGAGUAGUUUGGGAAUGCUGCUCUAAAUGGGAGGUAAAUCUCUUCUAAAGCUAAAUACCGGCCAGAGACCGAUAGCGCACAAGUAGAGUGAUCGAAAGAUGAAAAGCACCUUGAAAAGGGGGUUAAAUAGUACGUGAAAUUGUUGAAAGGGAAGCACUUGUGACCAGACUUGGGCCGGGCGGCUCAUCAGGGGUUCUCCCCUGUGCACUCCGCCCGGCACAGGCCAGCAUCGGUUCUCGUGGGGGGAUAAGACCGUCAGGAACGUAGCACCCUCCGGGGUGUGUUAUAGCCUGGCGGACGAUACCCCCGUGGGGACCGAGGUUCGCGCUCCGCAAGGAUGCUGGCGUAAUGGUCACCAGUGACCCGUCUUGAAACACGGACCAAGGAGUCGUCCAUUAGAGCGAGCGUUUGGGUGCAAAACCCGCACGCGUAAUGAAAGUGAACGCAGGUGAGAGCUUCGGCGCAUCAUCGACCGAUCCUGAUGUUCUCGGAAGGAUUUGAGUAAGAGUUUUAACGGACGGACCCGAAAGACAGUGAACUAUGCUUGUAUAGGGUGAAGCCAGAGGAAACUCUGGUGGAGGCUCGCAGCGGUUCUGACGUGCAAAUCGAUCGUCAAAUAUGAGCAUGGGGGCG
rnacentral:rRNA from 1 species